rnacentral:rRNA from 1 species
AACGAACGCUGGCGGCAUGCCUAACACAUGCAAGUCGAACGAGACCUUCGGGUCUAGUGGCGCACGGGUGCGUAACGCGUGGGAACCUGCCUUUAGGUUCGGAAUAACUCAGAGAAAUUUGAGCUAAUACCGGAUGAUGUCUUCGGACCAAAGAUUUAUCGCCUUUAGAUGGGCCCGCGUUGGAUUAGCUAGUUGGUGGGGUAAAGGCCUACCAAGGCGACGAUCCAUAGCUGGUCUGAGAGGAUGAUCAGCCACACUGGGACUGGGACACGGUCCAGACUCCUACGGGAGGCAGCAGUGGGGAAUAUUGGACAAUGGGCGAAAGCCUGAUCCAGCAAUGCCGCGUGAGUGAUGAAGGCCUUAGGGUUGUAAAGCUCUUUUAACCGAGAUGAUAAUGACAGUAUCGGGAGAAUAAGCUCCGGCUAACUCCGUG